CUGGCCAUGGAAGUCUUCACGUUAUAACAUGACUGCAGGAAGUGACGAUUCAGAGGCAGACGAGGAAGCUCGCUAUGUUUGAUGACAUAUCCAGAACCGUUCUGUGCUUGCGCUCGGCCUACCCAACGUUUUUGCCCCUCCUAAAGCCUCUGAGCAACGUUGUCGUAGGGAGUGUUCCCGUCUUUCAAGAGGGGAAAAAAGCCUUGCUGUUCGUUCUUCUGGUUCCCUCUGGCGCCUUAGGAUGGGUGAUGAUACUAAACCAGAGCGAAAGGUCAUUGAACCUGUCCUGGAGAGCUCCUCAGGAUACCAGGAAAAGGAACCGGCACUCCGAGAAACUAUGAAACAGUGAAUCUGCUCCCUGCGGAAACGCACUGGAAAACAGGGUGCUUGGAAGCAACCAGCCAGCGGUCUCCGACCAGGCAGCGAGGAGCUCUUGGUGGGUUUGUCGCUCCAGGCGUGGGCCCGCGAUCGGCCGCGCCAGCGAUGCUGCUGGAAAUCAGAGUCUUUUAGAGAAGCUUUCCUGAAGAGGUCACCCUGAUGUUACCUGGAGAGAUAGCAACAACGGCCUGUUCUCACGGCAGACUUCCAGCACCCGGAGCUAAUUCCCCAUGCUGCUUCAGGCUCCUUUCCUGACCCAAGUUUUUAGCACAGCGUGUAUUAUGGCAUUCCUUCCUGUGGCGACUGGCCAAGGCAACGAAAUCCUGCUCUGACUAACCCUGAUGCUCCUUUUCACCUCGCUGGAACCUGUGCGCUAGCUGCUGUCUCCUGCGCCUCCUUCCUCAGACCGUUCCUCCUGCACAACAGGAAUCCUCUCAGUGCUGGAGCGGUUACUUAGUCUUCCCAGUGGCUGGGGCUUUUCAAACGCUGCUUUCGUCAACAGUUAUGCUUACCUUUGAAAAUGGUGAGAUUGAAGCAAUUGUACUGUUAAUUUUUUUGGACUGCUCUCUUGCUCUUGGGUUGUUCUUCAUUUAUGUUUUGGACUAUAUACAGCAUUCAAGGUGAGUGCCAUUCUUCCCCUGAACGCAAUGGCAUUAAGAGACUAUCUGUUGGCUAUGGUCAGCUCCUUCAGCGUUCUCACUGUUGGGCUGUUCAAAGGUUCCUUUUGCUACUUUUGACUCUAAUAUCACUGAUCGCAAUUGCUUUGACCUUGGAGAACACAGAAGUAACUGGCUCCUGCGUAGCAACCGCUAUCUGAUUUGUUAUUCCUCCUUUGCUGGUUAACCUGGGCUGAGAAGGUGCCCAGCUGUAUGCCAUGUUUGUAUAUGGCAUGUCUCUCCAUUUCAGCACGAUCUCUGGAUAACACUAGUCAUCAUUUUUGCUGUAUUUGCUGUAAUUACUGUCACAACAUUGUAUGUAGCACAUCCUAUUGAGUAAAUGGUUACUAACAUUAUAUAAUUGAUGCAUAAAGAAAGUAAAGAAGUGAUUAUCAACGCCCAGGAAAAUUCAUAACUUAUUACUAAAAACGGAAGUGUGACAUCUCACGACUUAUUAACUGGUUCUUGGUCAGGCGCCCAUUACACAGAAUUUCAAUGUGGUAUAUAUUUAUUUUAAGUCAUAACCUAUUUUUGCCCUUAGGAGGAUUUUGCAAACAGAACUCUAUGUUGCACUAUACCCGUUGUGUAAACAUUAGUAGUAGCAUAAAACAUGUUCUAACCAACUGCUUAGGAAGAAGGGUGAA